rnacentral:misc_RNA from 1 species
GAGAUGAAAUUCAAAGCAAUCAAAGGUUUACAUUAAAAACAAGUUAUGCCCAUCAACAACGGAAGCAAGACAUGCUGCUUCUGGAAGGAUUCUUCCAGACGGCGAUACAGUCAUACCUACUCUUCCCAGAUUAGGAACUUUACAGAAAACCUGACAUGCAAGCAUAGUACUGAUAAAUGUUACAUCUUUUACAAUCUUAGUUUGACCCGAGAAACCAUCGUACAUGAUACAAAUUUGAGCCCAUGGAUCAACUACAACCUUAAGUGAAAGGCGAUCGACGCUCUCACUCAUCAUCUUCUUCGUCUUCUUCAUCUUCCUCUUCUUCCCCCUCCUCCUCUCCACUUUGCUCAGAUCCCUCUUCCUCUUCCUCAUCAGCCUCAGCCUCAGCCCCGCUUUCCUGUUUCUUGUUGUAAGCUGACAUUUGCUUUUCAUAUUCAACCUUCCUUUUUGCAGCCUUGGCUUCAUAUGGAGCUUUCUCAGCUUUGGACAACGAUUUCCACUUUUCUCCCCCAGCUUUACCAACAGCUGAGACAGCUUUCACAUUUGGAUGUUCUUGCUUGUAUGUCUUCCUGAACUCCUCAAGGAAAACAAAGAAAGCACUAGCAGGCCUUUUUGGUUUGUUGGGAUCCUUUUUCACCUUUUCUUCCUUCUUAGGCUUUUUUACUUUACUCUUAACUGGCUUAGCAGCAGCCUUCCGUUUCCCAACACCUCUGUCAUCCACCGGCUUCAGCGCUGGCUUUGUCUCCUUCUUCGUUGCUCCCUUCCCCUUUGCAACCUUCAUUCUCGAGGAGGCGGAAGCAGCUCGCUGGAUCGCUCGGUCGAUGAAUAAUGGAGAUGGGGGAGAGGUGAGGACAGAGAGGAAAGGGAAGAGAG